UUCUUGGUCAUUUAGAGGAAGUAAAAGUCGUAACAAGGUCUCCGUUGGUGAACCAGCGGAGGGAUCAUUACCGAGUACUAUAACUCAUAACCCUUUGUGAACCUUCAUACCUGUUGCUUCGGCGGCGCGCCUCCCGGGGCGUGCCCGCCGGCAUUAUCAGAAUCUCUGUUUUCGAACCCGACGAUACUUCUGAGUGUUCUUAGCGAACUGUUAAAACUUUCAACAACGGAUCUCUUGGCUCCAGCAUCGAUGAAGAACGCAGCCCCCCCGUGCCC
rnacentral:rRNA from 1 species